UUCCCAUCUCCUUCGCUUUGCUUUACUGCCCUCGGUUUCAUCGCUUCGACCACCAAUGACCCAUCAUCUCAUUUUCUCUGUUUUCAUUUCCUUCAUGAAGACCCUUUCUGUUUCAUCUUCCCUCAGCAUCAUCUCCUUCAUGAAGACUCUCUCAGUCUCGUCCUCAUUCUCUACGAGAUGAGUCUGCAUGUGCUAUAAUAAGAGAAAACAUAGAAGCCACAUGUGCAGAUCCAACGAGACCCAUGUCAUGGAGACGAAGACAGUGGCUUCUCCUCUAAGUCA
rnacentral:misc_RNA from 1 species